rnacentral:rRNA from 1 species
UGCCAUCAGCCGCGGUAAUACGGAGGGUGCAAGCGUUGUUCGGAAUUAUUGGGCGUAAAGAGCAUGUAGGCGGACUGUUAAGUCUGAUGUGAAAGCCCGGGGCUCAACCUCGGAACUGCCUUUGAUACUGCAGAUCUAGAGUCCGAGAGAGGUGAGUGGAAUUCCUAGUGUAGAGGUGAAAUUCGUAGAUAUUAGGAAGAACACCAGUGGCGAAGGCGGCUCACUGGCUCGGUACUGACGCUGAGGUGCGAAAGCGUGGGGAGCAAACAGGAUUAGAUA